rnacentral:rRNA from 1 species
GUCCACGCCCUAAACGAUGCGAACUGGACGUUGGGAGCAAUUAGGCUCUCAGUGUCGAAGCUAACGCGUUAAGUUCGCCGCCUGGGGAGUACGGUCGCAAGACUGAAACUCAAAGGAAUUGACGGGGCCGCACAAGCGGUGGAGUAUGUGGUUUAAUUCGAUGCAACGUGAAGAACCUUACCUGGCCUUGACAUCCACCGGAAGUCUGCAGAGAUGCGGAUGUGCCUUCGGGAACCGGUGAGACAGGUGCUGCAUGGCUGUCGU